ACCCUGAUCCAGCCAUGCCGCGUGUGUGAAGAAGGCCUUUUGGUUGUAAAGCACUUUAAGCGAGGAGGAGGAGCUCUUGGUUAAUACCCAAGAUGCUUGGACGUUACUCGCAGAAUAAGCACCGGCUAACUCUGUGCCAGCAGCCGCGGUAAUACAGAGGGUGCAAGCGUUAAUCGGAUUUACUGGGCGUAAAGCGCGCGUAGGUGGCCAAUUAAGUCAAAUGUGAAAUCCCCGAGCUUAACUUGGGAAUUGCAUUCGAUACUGGUUGGCUAGAGUAUGGGAGAGGAUGGUAGAAUUCCAGGUGUAGCGGUGAAAUGCGUAGAGAUCUGGAGGAAUACCGAUGGCGAAGGCAGCCAUCUGGCCUAAUACUGACACUGAGGUGCGAAAGCAUGGGGAGCAAACAGGAUUAGAUACCCUGGUAGUCCAUGCCGUAAACGAUGUCUACUAGCCGUUGGGGCCUUUGAGGCUUUAGUGGCGCAGCUAACGCGAUAAGUAGACCGCCUGGGGAGUACGGUCGCAAGACU
rnacentral:rRNA from 1 species